AUGGCAGAUAAUAGUAAAGAAAAAUUAGGCUCAGGAGCAGCCCAUACAAUCAAUCUAGAGACCUUCAGUAGGCGGCUUAACGUGUUUUAUGACCAUUGGAACGAAAAUAAGUCUGAUCUUUGGGCUUCUUCUGAUGCCAUUGCAAUUGCGACUCCGCCUCCUUCUGAGGAUCUCCGUCAUUUGAAAUCCACAGCUCUGGAUGUUUGGUUUCUUGGAUAUGAUGAAUUUCCAGAAACCAUAAUUGUCUUCAUGCAGAAGCAGAUACAUUUCUUAUGCAGCUGUUUUGGUUCUGAUAUUGUCUUGCAUGUGAAAAGCAAGAAUGGGGAUGGCAUUGACCUGAUGGAUGAUAAUACUGCAAAAGUUAUCUGUUGGAUCUGUGUACAACUUGCAGACGUAACACACGGGUUUCCUGAGAUUUUUGCCGUCGAAGGUGCCACAAAGAUCAUAUGUGUGAAAAAGACUGCUUGCCUAACUUCAUCUCUAAUGAAAAACUUUGUGGUACCGACCAUGGAGAAGGUUAUUGAUGAGGAGAGAAAAGUCUCACACUUGUCAUUGAUGUAUGACACAGAGAAGGUUAUUAUUGAUCCUUUGAAGGCCAAGGAGAAUGGAGGGAAGUUUGAUCUUAGGCCAGGUGCCUCCAGCAAUGAUGAUUAUCUCUACUAUGAUCCUGCAAGUAUCAUCAUCUGCGCAACUGGGUCCAGGUACAGUAACUACUGUUCCAAUGUUGCCAGAACAUUUCUGACACUUUUGAAAGCCCAGGAAGCUUCUUUAGCAGCAUGUAAACCAGGCAAUCAGAUGUCUGCAGUUUUUAAGGCUGCAGUUGCAGUGUUUGAUGACAAGACUGCAGAGAUCUUGACCAAUUGCUCCAAGGCUGUUAAAGAUGUUGCCUAUUCAUUUAAUGAUGAGGAGGAAAAUGUGAAUGAUGUGCCCUAUUCGAGAGAGUUGGUGAUACAGGUGGAUCAGAGGAAUGAAGGUGUUCUCUUACCUAUUUAUGGCAGCAUGAUCCCUUUCCAUGUUUCUACUGUUAAGACGACAAGUAAUUCGGAACGGAGGGAGUACCUGGCAUGCCAUUCUCAAAUGUUUGACAAGGCUCAAGGAGCUAUCUACUUGAAAAUGAUUACAUUACGCUCAAAGGAUCCACGGCAUAGCAGUGAAGUUGUGCAGCAGAUCAAAACAUUGAGGAGGCAAGUAGCUUCAAGGGAGCCAGAGAGGGCCACCCUUGUUACUCAGGAGAAACUCCAGCAAGCAAGCACCCUUCAAAUGAGGCUUAAUGAUGUGUGGAUACGGCCUGCAUUUGGUGGUCGUGGGAGAAAGCUGACAGGAACUCUUCAGGCCCAUGUUAAUGGUUUCAGAUGUUCUACUUCAAGGGCUGAUGAAACAUAUGUUUUUUUCCAGCCGGCAGAGAAAGAAAUGAUUACCCUCCUACAUAUCCAUUGCACAAUCAUAUCAUGGACCGGAAGAACAGAAUCAACCAUGGAGUUCCAGAACUAUAUCAACAAGGUUAAUGACCACUGGUCGCAACCACAGUUCAAGGGGCUUGAUCUGGAGUUCCAUAUCCCUCUUAGAGAGCUUGGAUUCCAUGGGGUUCCGUAUAAAGCUUCAGCUUUCAUCAUUCCAACUUCAACUUGUUUGGUUGAGCUAAUUGAGACUCCUUUCCUAGUGGUGACCCUGGGUGAGAUAGAGAUUGUUAAUCUGGAGAGGGUGGGCUUUGGAACAAAGAAAUUUGACAUGGCUAUCGUGUUCAACGACUUCAAGAAGGAUGUUCUCCGCAUCGACUCCAUCCAGACAACCUCACUUGACGCGAUAAAGGAGUGGGUUGACACCACCGAUCUCAAGUACUAUGAGAGCAGGCUGUAUCUGAACUGGCGUCCUAUCCUGAAGACUAUCAUUGAUGAUCCUCAGAAGUUUGUUGACGAUGACAAGGGGUACGAGCCUUCUGCUGCUGAGCCCGAGUCUGAAUCAGAAGACGAAGACUCCGACAGCGCGUCCUUGGUGGAAUCAGACGAGGAUGAGGAAGAAGAUUGA
rnacentral:rRNA from 1 species